rnacentral:tRNA from 1 species
AGGAGUGUGUCUCAAAUAGUAGAGUACUUGCUUAAUGAGCAGGAAGCCCUAAAUUCAAAUCCCAGUACUGCUA